ensembl:lncRNA
GGCAGUGAAGCAGGCUGUGAUUUACUGGGACAACACCACUUCUGCAACAGAGAACACGACCUCGGAGAGGGGACCCCGAGAGCAGGGACCGGAGGGAUGCUCACAGACCCGGGUACCACUUACCCUCCACAGACAGACAGACACGAAACAUAAACCUGCUGAAACACCACGAGGCUGCUACAUGCCAAGGGAGGGAGCAAAAGGCAAUAGGUUUCUGAUGGGCUCCAUGGGCAUUGCAGCCACGGCGUGCGAUUCCCUCCGUAGGCACUUGAUCCGUGGAGCUGCCACUGGAUGGAUCCUGCAGGAGAGCCCGUCCUGGGAUGACCAGGCAGGGUGCAAUGCUGCUGGGGCUGAGCAGUGAGCUCCAGUUGGCACAGGGAGAGAAUUGGGAAGCACGGGAGUGAGGGCACCAGCUCCUUGUGUCCCAGGCAGCAGGUUUAAGGAGACUCACCCCCUUCAUGUCCCAGCAUGGACCAUCCUGGAGCAUCUUCCGAUGCUGAGCCAGCCCCAGCACUGGGCAGAGACAGCGUGUACAGCACAGCUUGGGGCUAGAGAAGCAAGAGCUCAGUGAGAGCAGCAUCAGGCUCCAAAAGGGGCUCACCCAUUUCAUCUCCUUUUCCUUCCCUGAAAGACAAGGGGAUGGAGGAAGGGCUGCGCCAAUGCCACGUGCUUGCUCCUAAAUCCAGAACAAGGGAUCUGGUGAGUCCAGAGUGGGGCUGACACUCGUUGUCCCAAUGGCUCCAGAUUAACAGAGCACUGGGCAGCUUCUGAGUGUUUUGGGAGAAGCAAGGGGUCAGAAACCAGCUCAAUAGUAACUGCAGGAGGGCCAAGAUGCUCAUGCCCUGGGAAUUAACCCUGCUCUGGUACAGCCACAGGGGCCAGAGCGGGUGGUGGUGGGCAGGGAGCUGAGGAAAGACAGAAAACAAGAGGUAGGCUUUGCUCGAGAGCUCAAAUCCUGCUGAUCUCCACCAGCUCUGCUCAGAAAUAACACAGAUUUGGCGCAAAGCUCCUGCUCACGGUGCUUUGCUAGGGAACGGGGGGAUGCUUUCCUCCAUGGGAAGGUUUCUUUAAGGAGGAGACAGCCUUUCCCAUAGCCCCCCAGUUCCUCAGUUUCCCAACUCUCUGCAGCUGGUUUUCAGCUCUUACACUCCCCUUCUUACCUGUCUCCCCUCAGUAGUGGGCCCCAAACCCUUGUGCCUGUGCAUUGACUGCAUUUCCUUUGAGUUUUCUAAGCCCCCAGACAAAACCAGACCAAGCCAACCAGAACUGGGGCCUUUCCCAGCAGAAAACUGAAGAUACCCCAAAACCUGGAGCCUCUGUUUCCCCCUGGGAACACCACUGACUCCUAAUAACAAGUGAGCUUCUGGUGGAAAACUGCCCACCCUCAGCUUCUCCUCCCUGCCUCCUCCUCCUCUUUCCAUCAGCUUCUGGAUGCCCUCAGUCUGCUGUCAAUGACAGUGGAUAACAAAGCUGCAGUGUGUGUCCAGCCACCUCUUCUGUGGAAUUUGUGGGAUUUCUGGGAUGCAAUUUGCAUCCAGCCACCUCUUGGCUUUCAGCAGCACGAAUGCCAGAAGCAGAGAUGAGGAAAGCGAUGGCUCCAUGUGGCCUGGGAGGGCUCUUCCCCUCUUUUCCCUUCAAGAGAGUUGAGGCAAGGGCAGGUCUGGCCGCGGCUCUCGGGAUAGAUGCUGCAGGGGCUAUGGCACAAGCUCAGGUUGAGGCUAUCUAUCCUUGAUAGAGCAACCGUUUGAGCUGCUGGAUUCAACAGCAGGUUCAGAACCAACAGAUCAGUGCCUGGGAGGCUCAUGUGAAGAAGAGCCUUGGCAGGGAAUAAAAUCCCUCCAUUAUUUGAAUGCAGGAGAUCUUGAUUUGGCAUCAAGCGCAAGGGGCUGGGUCCCCUCCUUCAAUCAGGGCCCGUCUGAAGCUCCUAAGGCAUGCUGUUGGCUGCAAGGGGUCUCACAGAGUCCCUCUGGGCCAGCACCGUGUGGAUGUGACGGGCUCAUUGCUGGACUCAAGGCAGCAUCCUCCCAGCCAGGACAGUGGGGCUGCUCUUCAGAUGGUCAGUCCCAGCUCGGAUUCCCUUUGGUCCACGAGACGAGAACGUUGCCAGAGGUUCACCUUCACCAAAAGCCACCCGAGAUGGCAGGAGCCAGGCAGGAGCCCCAGCAGAGCAGCAGCUCAGGGCUGGGGGGCUGCAGCGGGGCUGGGCAGUGAUUUGGGGCUGGGAAGAGGCAGCCAAGUGAGGACAGGGCAAGCUGAGCAGGCACCGGGGAUACCUGCUCUGGGAACAGGGCUGAAGCCAGGACCAGAGGGAGCUGCUGUAGCUGGAGGUGCUGCUCCACUUAAAAACAGAGAGCAACCCACCGCGGGCAGCCAGAGGGUACCUUCCCAGGGCAAAAUACCAACUGCUGAGCACUGAUUUUGCCUGAGCUGCUGCUGUCUGCAGGGCUGGCUCUAAUAAACGCACACUGUCCCCGUACCAGAUGAACUGAGCUCC